AGGUCCUGCCUGCCCAGUGACUAUGUUAAACGGCCGCGGUAUUUUGACCGUGCAAAGGUAGCGCAAUCACUUGUCUUUUAAAUGAAGACCUGUAUGAAUGGUGGAACGAGGGCCUAACUGUCUCCCCUUUCAAGUCAAUGAAAUUGAUCUAUCCGUGCAGAAGCGGGUAUAUAGCUACAAGACGAGAAGACCCUUUGGAGCUUAAGAUUAAAGAUCAACUAUGUCAAAUAUUUAUUAAAUAGAACUAAAUAGUAACUGAUCCUGAUCUUCGGUUGGGGCGACCACGGAAUAAAAAUAAACUUCCACAUGGACUGAGGACUAACCUUAAAACCAAGAAAGACAUUUCUAAGCCACAGAAUUUCUGACCACACCGAUCCGGCAAAUUGCCGAUCAAUGGACCAAGUUACCCUAGGGAUAACAGCGCAAUCCCCUUUCAGAGUUCCUAUCGACAAGGGGGUUUACGACCUCGAUGUUGGAUCAGGAC
rnacentral:rRNA from 1 species